rnacentral:rRNA from 1 species
GUCUAGUAUAGCAAUUAUACCGUGAAACUGCGAAUGGCUCAUUAAAUCAGUUAUCGUUUAUUUGAUAGUACCUUACUACUUGGAUAACCGUGGUAAUUCUAGAGCUAAUACAUGCUGAAAACCCCAACUUCGGGAGGGGUGUAUUUAUUAGAUAAAAAACCAACGCCCUUCGGGGCUUCUUGGUGAUUCAUGAUAACUUUACGGAUCGCAUGGCCUUGCGCCGGCGACGGUUCAUUCAAAUUUCUGCCCUAUCAACUUUCGAUGGUAAGGUAUUGGCUUACCAUGGUUUCAACGGGUAACGGGGAAUUAGGGUUCGAUUCCGGAGAGGGAGCCUGAGAAACGGCUACCACAUCCAAGGAAGGCAGCAGGCGCGCAAAUUACCCAAUCCCGACACGGGGAGGUAGUGACAAUAAAUACUGAUACAGGGCUCUUUUGGGUCUUGUAAUUGGAAUGAGUACAAUUUAAACCUCUUAACGAGGAACAAUUGGAGGGCAAGUCUGGUGCCAGCAGCCGCGGUAAUUCCAGCUCCAAUAGCGUAUAUUAAAGUUGUUGCAGUUAAAAAGCUCGUAGUUGAACCUUGGGUCUGGCUGGCAGGUCCGCCUCACCGCGUGUACUUGUCCGGCCGGGCCUUCCUUCUGGAGAACCUCAUGCCCUUCACUGGGCGUGUUGGGGACCAGGACUUUUACUUUGAAAAAAUUAGAGUGUUCAAAGCAGGCCUUUGCUCGAAUACGUUAGCAUGGAAUAAUAGAAUAGGACGUGCGGUCCUAUUUUGUUGGUUUCUAGGACCGCCGUAAUGAUUAAUAGGGACAGUCGGGGGCAUCAGUAUUCAAUUGUCAGAGGUGAAAUUCUUGGAUUUAUUGAAGACUAACUACUGCGAAAGCAUUUGCCAAGGAUGUUUUCAUUAAUCAGUGAACG